CCCAGAAGUCACAAAGCAUCAUUUCCACCAUAUUCUGUGGUCAAAGCAAGCACAAGCCACAGAGAGGACAUGAACCCCACCUCUUGAUGUCAGAGUAGCUGAUCACAUUGUAAAAGGACAUAGGGGAUGGGAGAAAUUUUUGCAGGCACCUUUGGAAACUCACAAAGACUAUGAAAUUCUGCAGCAGCCACCAACAGUGACCUUGAGGAAGUUGAACUUCUCUGAGCCCCAGUCUCUUACUGUAGAGUUUUCAAGAGGAUUGAAUGAGAAACACUUGAUGUGAACCUGACACGGAGUUCAGUAAAGGAUAACUAUGAUCAUUGUAACAUCACAGAGUUCAAAUACAGGUCGUUAUGUACCUGUAUUUUCUUUCUUUCUCUUCAGGAGGACUUCAGCAGCAAAUUAAGAUAGCAAUUAUUUGAUUACAUUACAUCUGGUUGUUUGGAAGAAAACUUGUUUUCCCAUAAAAGGAAGCAAAUUACCAAGGCAAAUCACAGACCAUAAACAAUAUGAAAAUAUAGCUAUGAUAAAAAGUGUUCCUGCUGUUUUUAUAUAGAAGAAUAUGGCUGAUAUGAGUUUCUUCUUCUAGGUCCAAAACAUGCCGAUGUGUAAGUUGAACUAAAAGAGCCUCGAGGUGACAUACCUGGCUAAUGAUGAGACAAGCUAAUAAGAUGGCUUGACCCUGGCUUAAUCCUCACCACACUGCCAAGAGAGGCUUCCUUGUUCCUCUUUUACACAUGGGUGUUCUGAGGUGUAAAGAGGGUGAACCCCUGGAACUGCAUGAAGUCUCUGGUGCAUAGUAGGUGUUCAAUAAAUAUGUCUGGAAGAAUUAUAUGGGCCAACCAUUGAAGAGAUGUCUAGGAACCUAAGACACACAAAAGCAAAGGGCAUACCAAGGUCACAGUGCCUGGCAUUUACUCACAGCCAGAAGGCAGGGAACAGAAUUAUGUGUAAGUAACUUAGGCUAGACCUAAAUCUGCCUGUUAAUGAAGGCUGUUCUGAUGAACGGAUGUCAAGAUGUGUUAGACAACAAAAUUACACUUCACUAUAUGCCUUGACUGUGUGGAAGGAUGCAGAUGAAAGAAGGUUUGAAGGGCCAGCAGUUUCUAAUCAAUGGUGGCUAUGCACUCUGUGAAUCACUUCCCUGACACAUUGUGGAAAAGUACUAGAAAACCAUCAGCAUGAGGAUGUUGUGAGUCAGGAUAUCAGAUCUUUGCAUACAGAUACGAUAUUUCCUACCCAUCUUAAUGGACAGACAAUCCUACCAAAACAAAGAGAAGUACUUUUUAUAAAACAGGUCCUUAGUAAGUGGGAAACAAUCAGAUCUUUUCAGACAAAUAUUUUACAUUAUUGAGCAUCCAAAUGACUAAAAAGGCCCUUUAUGCCAUUGAAGGUAUCACACGUUAUAUCAUUAGUCAUUACUGCUCCAUGCCACAGGAGUGUCUUCUCCAGAAGAGCCAAGCAAACUGCUCAUUUUUUAAAAAAUGAAAUCCAGCCUAUAUUUUAAAUAUUUUUUAAAG